AUGGCAACAUGGUACCGACUGUUGUCUUUGGGAAGGUGUUGGCUGCAGCAACUCCUUGGGCCAUGUCACCGCUUUGGAACUCCAUGGGCGUGGAUUGUUUUGUAUAGUCAGGGCCUUGACCCUGCAAUCUUCAAGCUCACCUCGCUCCAAUUACUCGACCUUAGCAUGAAUAAUUUUGGCCAGCACAUUCUCCCGGCAAGUGGGUUUGAGAGGCUCUCCUUGCUGACCCACCUCAACCUCUCCAAUUCGAGAUUCCAAGGCAAGAUACCCAUUGGCAUCAGCAAACUUGUCAACCUUAUCUCCUUGGAUCUUUCUGUUUCCUAUUAUGACACUACUGAAGAUUCACUUAGUGACUAUGAUAGCAGCAUCGGUAUCAUUUCUUAUGUGUUCUGGCUGCCCAACUUUCAAAACCUAGUGGCCAACCUCAACAGUUUGAGAGAGCUCUACCUUGAUGGAGUGGAUAUGUCUAGCAGUGGAGACUGGUGUCAUGCUCUUGCUGAAUCUCUUCCAGAUCUCCGAGUUCUUAGCUUAAGUUCUUGUUUUCUCGGCGGUCCUAUCUGUUGGUCCCUCUCAAGACUCGACUCUCUAACUGCAAUAAACUUGGAAGAUAACUUUGAUAUACCGGCUACUUUUCCGGAGUUUUUCAUGGAUUUUUCCAAUUUAAGUGUGCUCCAACUUGCUCGGACAAAUCUCCAAGGGUGGUUCCCUCGUAGAGUUUUUGAAUCAAAAACUCUGCGAGUUCUUGAUUUAUCCGGGAAUCAGGAUCUCUUAGGGCAUGUGCCCAACUUCUCCAAUGCAAGUUCCUUAGAGACAAUGAUGCUAGACGGGACCAAUUUAUCCUUUGGAAAACCAGGCUCCUUUAGCAAUUUCAAGUCUUUGCAAACGUUAAGCCUUGAUGUGGAUUUUGCUUUUAUGGAGCAUCAAUCUUCACUCGGUAUUCACAUGUCUUUACAACAUUUGGAACUCACCCAGAUGGAAUCAACAAAAGAUUUGGGGCUAAUUUUGUCAUGGAUCGGAGACCUGCAAAACUUGGCAAGCUUAGAACUCUCAGGAUGGAACUUCUCUCGGACAUCAUUUUCUUCAGUUGCCAAACUCAAGAACUUGAAAAGCCUGUCAAUGUAUUACUGCAACUUCACCAAGCCAUCACUGUCGGCAAUUCGUAAUCUAGUAAAUUUGAGAAGCUUGGUGAUUAAUCAGUGCGAAUUGAAUGGUCCAAUGCCAUCUGCAAUUGGCGACCUCGCAGACUUGGAAAGCUUGGAAAUAAUUGCUUAUGAUUUCUUAGGGCCAAUACCAUCUGCAAUUGGCAAUCUCAGAAGCUUGAAAAGCUUGGAAAUUAAUGCUCAUGGUUUAUUAGGGCCAAUACCAUCUUCAAUUGGCAACCUUAGUAGCUUGAUAAGGUUGGCAAUUUCUGCUUUUGAGUUUUCUGGGCCAAUGCCACCUGCAAUAUGCAAUCUUAGUAAUUUGGAGGCUUUGGAGAUGCGCAGUUCUGGGUUUUUUGGGCCAAUACCCUAUGCAAUUGGACUACUCAAGAAAUUGACAUCACUGCGGCUUCAAGAGUGUAGCUUUUCUGGAAGCAUACCGAAUUCAGUAUUUAAUUUGACUCGCCUAAUUGAGUUAGAUCUUUCAUUUAAUCUUCUCAGUGGGGAAAUUCCAACAUCUGUUUUCACUAUUCCAACAUUGCGACGCCUAGAUAUUCAUUUCAACCAGCUCUCUGGCUCUAUAAAGGACUUUGAUGCAACGUCUUCACACUUGGUGUUCGUGGACCUAAGUAAAAAUAAUUUGAUAGGACAUAUUCCCAAGUCGUUCUUUCAACUAAGAUGUUUGGCAUAUCUCGAUAUUGGCUGGAAUAACUUGGUGGGUUCAGUGGAUCUUUCUUCAUUCUGGAGGUUGAGAAAUCUCAAUCAUUUGGAUCUUUCCAACAACAAACUAUCAGUCAGGGACAUGGAUGGAGAAGAUAACAACUCUCCGUCUACCUAUAUCCCUCGAGUUACCUGGUUAGGAUUAAGCUGCAAUUUAACAGAGUUCCCAGUUUCGUUGGCACACCUUAACCAAGUGUCUUACUUGGAUUUGUCAUCCAAUAGAAUCAGUGGGGCCAUUCCAAAGUGGAUGUGGGUGACAUGGAACAGUAGCCUUACAUAUUUGAAUCUUUCACACAACCUUCUCAGCAUUAUGCAAUUUACAUCAUAUGUUCUCCCUUUCGAUCAGUUGGAAAUUCUUGAUCUUAGUUUCAAUCAGCUUCAAGGGCAGAUUCCAAUGCCAAGCCCACCAGCGGCUAUGUUGUAUUAUUCAAACAACAACUUCUCUUCAGUGCUUCCAAAUUUCACUCUCUAUCUUGGCCAGGAGUUUAGGAUUUCUAAAAACAAGAUUAGUGGACACAUACCUAAGUCAGUUUGUGAUUCAACUAUUGGUGUCCUCGACCUAUCUUUUAACAACUUCAGCGGGCAGAUACCUUCAUGUCUAAUAGAAGAUGGUUACAUGAGCGUGUUGAGUUUACGGGAGAAUCAAUUUGAAGGUAUGUUGCCUACCAACAUCAAAGACUAUUGUUUCCUUCACACAUUAGACUUGAACAACAACAAAAUUGAAGGGCAGCUUCCAAGGACACUUACCAAGUGCUUGCAGCUGGAGUUCCUUGACAUAGGAAACAAUAACAUGGUAGGUAUUUUUCCAUCAUAUCUGGGGGUACUUCCCAGACUUCGUGUCCUUGUCAUGAGAUCCAACCGAUUCUAUGGCUCAAUGAGUGGUGCUCUUCACAACGGUGACAAAUCUGGAGAAUACUUCUCUAGCUUGCAGAUUCUUGAUGUUGCCUCGAACAAUUUCUUUGGUAAUUUGAGUCCAGAUUGGUUUGAGGGGCUGAAAUCAAUGAUGACAGAGUUGAACAGUACUGGUGAAAUUAUAAGUGCUUUGAAUGGAAGUGGUAAUGGUAAUGUUGAACAUGCCUAUCAGGAUACUGUUACUAUAUACUAUAAAAGCAUCUAUAGGACAUUCAAUAAGAUCUUGACCACUUUAACAGUCAUUGACCUAUCAAAUAAUUCAUUUGGUGGCACCAUUCCUGGAUCGCUUGGGAGACUUUUUUCGUUACAUGUACUAAACAUGUCAGGCAAUGCCUUCACCGGUGAUAUCCCGCGAGAAUUUGGCAGGAUGACUCAACUAGAAUCAUUAGAUCUGUCUCAGAACCAGCUUUCUGGUGAUAUUCCGGAUGCGCUAACAAAUCUCACCUUUCUUGGUAUCUUGAACUUGUCCAACAAUCAGUUGGUGGGAAGGAUACCUUGGUCAGGUCAAUUUGCAACUUUCCAAAAUAAUUCAUUUGAAGGGAAUCUGGGGCUGUGUGGACUGCCAUUGUCCAACCCAUGCGACAUUCGACCCGCUCCUCCAAGUGUGGCGCAUGGGGAGAAGUCCUCUCAUGUGGAUGUCAUCUUGUUUCUCUUCGUCGGGCUGGGAUUUGGUAUCGGAUUUGCAGCUGCCAUCCUGAUGAGAUGGGGUCGGAUCGGCGAAUGGUUUGUGAAAUCUGCAAGAGCUUUGAGGACUUGA
rnacentral:rRNA from 1 species